AUGGCUAAAGAUUACCCAGCAUCUCCUAAAGCCCAGCAUCUGCAAGAAUCCAAGAAGCAGCGUCUCACCUACGUACUUGUGGUGAGCGCGCUCUGCGUCGCCUUCUACGUGCUCGGGGCAUGGCAGAACAGCACCAUGCCGAACCCUGUGGCUGAUUCGGCAAUAAGCCGGGUUGACUGUGAUACCGUGGCGCAGAGAGACGGGUCGGUGCCGUCUUUUGCGCCCGCGUCUGAGAACGUGCUCGAUUUCGAUGCGCACCACCAGCUGAACCUCAGUAACACGGAGUCCGCGGUGCAGCAGUUCCCUGCGUGCCCGCUCAAUCAGAGCGAGUACACGCCAUGCGAGGACCGGAAACGUGGCCGUCUGUUUGACCGGGACAUGCUGAUAUACCGUGAGAGGCACUGCCCGGGCAAGGACGAGCAGAUCCGAUGCCUCAUUCCGGCGCCGCCAAAGUACAAGAACCCCUUCAGGUGGCCGGAGAGCAGGGACGUCGCUUGGUUUGACAAUAUCCCUCACAAGGAGCUCAGCAUCGAGAAGGCCGUGCAGAACUGGAUCCGGGUGGAGGGGAACAAGUUCCGGUUCCCCGGUGGUGGCACUAUGUUUCCCCAUGGCGCUGACGCGUACAUUGAUGAAAUCAGUAAGCUCAUCUCGUUGUCGGAUGGGAGGAUCAGGACGGCGAUCGACACGGGCUGCGGGGUUGCUAGCUUUGGGGCUUACUUGCUGAAGAGGAACAUCAUUACCGUGUCGUUUGCGCCGAGGGACACACACGAAGCUCAGGUGCAAUUUGCACUGGAACGCGGUGUGCCUGCCAUCCUCGGCGUGAUGGGAUCAAUACGGUUGCCUUAUCCAUCUAGGGCAUUUGACCUGGCUCAUUGUUCACGUUGUCUGAUUCCUUGGGGAGGGCAUGAUGGACUGUACCUCGCCGAGAUCGAUAGGAUUCUAAGGCCAGGGGGCUACUGGAUUCACUCGGGCCCUCCAAUCAACUGGAAGACGCACCACAAUGGGUGGAAGAGGGCCGAGGAAGACCUCAAGCGGGAGCAAGACAAGAUUGAGGAUGUCGCGAGGAGCCUUUGCUGGAAUAAGGUGGCCGAGAAGGAGGACCUCUCCAUCUGGCAGAAGCCCAAGAACCACCUUGAGUGUGCCGACAUAAAAAAGAAGCAUAAGAUACCCCAUGUCUGCAAGAGUGACAACCCUGAUGCUGCCUGGUACAAGAAGAUGGAAUCCUGUCUUACCCCAUUGCCUGAAGUGAGCAACCAGGGAUCGAUCGCCGGCGGAGAGGUCGCGAGAUGGCCAAAGAGGGCGCUCACGGUGCCCCCAAGGGUCAAGAGGGGCACGAUUCCGGGGAUAGACGAGAAGAAGUUUGAGGAGGACAUGAAGCUUUGGGAGAAGAGGCUGGCGUACUACAAACGCACGACGCCCAUAGCGCAGGGGCGGUACAGGAAUGUGAUGGACAUGAACGCGAACCUGGGCGGUUUCGCCGCUUCCCUGGUCAAGUACCCCGUGUGGGUGAUGAACGUCGUCCCGGUCAAUUCGGACAAGGACACCCUCGGAGCGAUCUACGAGCGGGGGUUCAUCGGCACCUACCAGGACUGGUGCGAAGCCUUCUCGACGUACCCGAGGACCUACGACCUGUUGCACGCCGACAAUUUGUUCAGCAUCUACCAGGACAGGUGCGACAUAACGGACAUCCUCCUGGAGAUGGACAGGAUACUGAGGCCCGAGGGCACGGCGAUCAUCCGCGACACGGUCGACGUGCUCACCAAGGUCCAGGCCAUAGCCAAGCGGAUGCGGUGGGACAGCCGCAUCCUGGACCACGAGGACGGGCCCUUCAACCAGGAGAAGGUCCUUGUCGCGGUCAAGACGUACUGGACGGCCGACCCGUCGGAGCACAGCUGA
rnacentral:rRNA from 1 species